rnacentral:rRNA from 1 species
AUUGAACGCUGGCGGCAGGCCUAACACAUGCAAGUCGCACGAGUGGCGGACGGGUGAGUAAUGUCUGGGAAACUGCAUGAUGUACGGGGAUAACUACUGGAAACGGUAGCUAAUACCGCAUACCCUCAGAUGUGCCCCGAUUGGCUUAGCUAGUUGGUGGGGUAACGGCUCACCAAGGCGACGAUCCCUAGCUGGUCUGCGAGGAUUACCAUCCACACUGGAACGGAGACACGGGCCAGACUCCUACGAUAGGCAGCAGUGGGGAAUAUUGCACAAUGGGUGCAAGCCUGAUGCAGCCAUGCCGCGUGUAUGAAGAAGGCCUUCGGGUUGUAAAGUACUUUCAGCGGGGAGGCGUUACCCGCAGAAGAAGCACCGGCUAACUCCGUGCCAGCAGCCGCGGUAAUAC